UUAAGUGAAUAAGGGCGUACGGUGGAUGCCUAGGCACUUGGAACUGAAGAAGGACGCAACAAACGGCGAAACGCGACGGGGAGUGGUACGUACACAAAGAUCCGUCGAUAUCCGAAUGGGGAAACCCGGCAGCAGUAAUGAGCUGUCACCCAUGAGUGAAUACAUAGCUCAUGAGGGAGGUACCCGGAGAACUGAAACAUCUAAGUAUCCGGAGGAAAAGAAAAUAAGAAUGAUUCCGUAAGUAGCGGCGAGCGAACGCGGAGGAGCCCAAACCAGAUCUUGAUCUGGGGUUGUAGGACCACGAGAUGGCAAGAGCAUGGCUAAGAGAACGGCAUUGAAAGGCCGACCGGAGAGGGUGCAAGUCCCGUAACUGAAAGUCUAGCGAAGCCUAGUGGUAUCCUGAGUACGGCGAGACACGAGAAAUCUUGUCGGAAGCAGGCGGGACCAUCCGUCAAGGCUAAAUAUACCCAAGUGACCGAUAGUGAACCAGUACCGUGAGGGAAAGGUGAAAAGAACCGCGGGAGCGGAGUGAAAUAGAACCUGAAACCGUAUGCUUACAAGAAGUCAGAGCCCGUUAAAGGGUGAUGGCGUGCCUUUUGUAGAAUGAACCGGCGAGUUACGUUAUCGUGCGAGGUUAAGUAGAAGAUACGGAGCCGAAGCGAAAGCGAGUCUUAAUAGGGCGACAGUACGAUGAUGUAGACCCGAAACCGUGUGAUCUAGCCAUGACCAGGUUGAAGUUCAGGUGAAACUGAAUGGAGGACCGAACCGACCCCCGUUGAAAAGUUGGCGGAUGAGUUGUGGCUAGGGGAGAAAUUCCAAUCGAACACGGAUAUAGCUGGUUCUCCCCGAAAUAGCUUUAGGGCUAGCGUCGAGGUAGAGUCGCAUGGAGGUAGAGCACUGAAUGUACGAUGGCCCCAUCCCGGGGUACUGAGUAUAAUCAAACUCCGAAUGCCAUGCAGACGUACUCGGCAGUCAGACUGUGGGUGAUAAGGUCCAUGGUCAAAAGGGAAACAGCCCAGACCGCCAGUUAAGGUCCCAAAAUGUAUGCUAAGUGGAAAAGGAUGUGGGGAUGCACAGACAACUAGGAGGUUGGCUCAGAAGCAGCCAUCCUUCAAAGAGUGCGUAACAGCUCACUAGUCGAGUGACCCUGCGCCGAAAAUGUACCGGGGCUAAGCAUACUACCGAAGCUGCGGAUUCAACUUCAGAGUUGAGUGGUAGGGGAGCGUUGCAUGCACGUAGAAGCCGUACCGUAAGGAGCGGUGGAGAGCAUGGAAGAGAGAAUGCCGGUGUGAGUAGCGAGAUGUAGGUGAGAAUCCUACACACCGAUAGCCCAAGGAUUCCAGGGGAAGGUUCGUCCGCCCUGGGUAAGUCGGGACCUAACGCGAGGCCGAAAGGCGUAGUGGAUGGAAAACAGGCAGAUAUUCCUGUACCCGCGAUGGAAAUGAAGGAAUGACGGAGAAGGCUAGUGUGAGCCACUGAACGGAUUGUGGUCGAAGCAUAUAGCAGGCUGACAGUGAAAUGCGUCAGCGGGAUGUAAGAUGUGACAGGUAAGGGAACGUCCUCGGACAAGUACUGAAGCACAUGAUGCCAGCUUCCAAGAAAAGUUUCUAGUGAUGAUUCCAUAGCGGCCCGUACCAAAACCGACACAGGUGGGCAAGGAGAGAAUCCUGAGGUGAGCGAGAGAACUGUUGCCAAGGAACUCGGCAAAAUGACUCCGUAAGUUAGCGAUAAGGAGUGCUCUUGUAAAAGAGAGCCGCAGUGAAGAGGCCCAAGCGACUGUUUAACUAAAACACAGCUCUCUGCAAAGUCGCAAGACGAAGUAUAGGGGGUGACGCCUGCCCGGUGCUGGAAGGUUAAGAGGAUUUGUCAUCCGCAAGGAGAAGCAAUGAAUUGAAGCCCCAGUGAACGGCGGCCGUAACUAUAACGGUCCUAAGGUAGCGAAAUUCCUUGUCAGGUAAG
rnacentral:rRNA from 1 species